CGCGCCCGUAGCGUCGGCGGCAAUUGUUGUGACGGUACGGGAAGCCGGUGCAAAGCCGGCGCGGUCGCGCCACUGUGACCGGCCCACGCCCAGUGGGUCCGGGAGCCAGACCUCGUGCCGUCAUCGACACCACCAAG
rnacentral:ncRNA from 22 species